UACAGAGGUCUCAAGCGUUGUUCGGAUUCAUUGGGCGUAAAGGGCGCGUAGGCGGCGCGGUAAGUCGGGUGUGAAAUCUCGGGGCUUAACUCCGAAACUGCAUUCGAUACUGCCGUGCUUGAGGACUGGAGAGGAGACUGGAAUUUACGGUGUAGCGGUGAAAUGCGUAGAUAUCGUAAGGAAGACCAGUGGCGAAGGCGGGUCUCUGGGCCGAUACUGACGCUGAGGAGCGAAAGCGUGGGGAGCAAACAGG
rnacentral:rRNA from 1 species